rnacentral:rRNA from 1 species
CGAGUGAAGAGGGAAGAGCCCAAGAUUGAAAGCUGGCGCCUUCGGCGUCCGCAUUGUAAUCUCAAGAAGUGUUUUCCGCUUCGGACCAUGCCUAAGUCCCUUGGAAAAGGGCAUCACAGAGGGUGAUAAUCCCGUACAUGGCAUGGAGCGCCCGAAGCUUUGUGAUACGCUUUCUAAGAGUCGAGUUGUUUGGGAAUGCAGCUCAAAAUGGGUGGUAAAUGCCAUCUAAGGCUAAAUAUUGGGGAGAGACCGAUAGCGAACAAGUACAGUGAUGGAAAGAUGAAAAGAACUUUGAAAAGAGAGUUAAACAGUACGUGAAAUUGCCAAAAGGGAAGGGUAGGAGGUCAGAGAUGCGUCGCAGGAUUCAGCCUUGCUUUUGCUUGGUGUUUUUCCUGCGUUGCAGGCCAACGUCGGUUUUGGGCACUGGAGAAGGGUAGGAGGAACGUGGCACCUCUCGGGGUGUGUUAUAGCCUCCUACUGGAUACAGCGACCGAGACCGAGGAACGCAGCGUACUCGUAAGAGCGGGCCUUUUGGCACCUUUACGCUUAGG